UACGUAGGGGGCAAGCGUUGUCCGGAUUUAUUGGGCGUAAAGCGCGUGUAGGCGGCUUUACAGGUCCGUUGUGAAAACUCGAGGCUCAACCUCGAGACGCCGGUGGAAACCGUAAAGCUAGAGUCCGGAAGAGGAGAGUGGAAUUCCUGGUGUAGCGGUGAAAUGCGCAGAUAUCAGGAAGAACACCCGUGGCGAAGGCGGCGCUCUGGGACGGUACUGACGCUGAGACGCGAAAGCGUGGGGAGCGAACAGG
rnacentral:rRNA from 1 species